AGACACAGGUAUUCAGGAUCAUCAACAAGAGCUUCGUUGAUACAUCCGAGAGUUCGAGUUAGCUAUGGUGAGCCUCCUUGCUUCCGGAGGAUUUCAUUUACCUUUCAGUUAUAUCAGUUGUUAGGAUGUCGUGGGUCUUGUCCCGACUUCCAUCUUUAUCAGUUAGAGGCUUCAUAGAUAGUCAGUCUAGUUGAGAAGUCUGUAU
rnacentral:lncRNA from 1 species